rnacentral:rRNA from 1 species
CCUACGGGUGGCAGCAGUCGAGAAUCAUUCACAACGGGGGAAACCCUGAUGGUGCGACGCCGCGUGGGGGAAUGAAGGUCUUCGGAUUGUAAACCCCUGUCAUGUGGGAGCAAAUUAAAAAGAUAGUACCACACGAGGAAGAGACGGCUAACUCUGUGCCAGCAGCCGCGGUAAUACAGAGGUCUCAAGCGUUGUUCGGAAUCACUGGGCGUAAAGCGUGCGUAGGCUGUUUCGUAAGUCGUGUGUGAAAGUCGCGGGCUCAACCCGCGGACGGCACAUGAUACUGCGAGACUAGAGUAAUGGAGGGGGAACCGGAAUUCUCGGUGUAGCAGUGAAAUGCGUAGAUAUCGAGAGGAACACUCGUGGCGAAGGCGGGUUCCUGGACAUUAACUGACGCUGAGGCACGAAGGCCAGGGGAGCGAAAGGGAUUAGAUACCCGAGUAGUC